CCGGCAUCUCCCGGUUGCAGGCCUCGACGCUGCCUUUCUCUUUCAUCAUCUGCUUUCCACUCUUACACCGAUCUCUGUCUUCUCUUCCCAUUUCAGGCAAUCUCAAUGAAUCACUUCUCGCUCGCGCAAUUCAGAUGGGAAAUCUUCCCGCCGAUCUAAAAGUUUCUUAGGCUCAUGAAGAUAUGAAUCUGGUGGGGUUUCUGUGGCGACUGUCGGGCAUUGGGGGUUUGAAUGGAGAAAGAAGCUUCAGUCUGGCGCGGCGUUUCUUGGUCUGCCAUGCUACAAGUUUUCUUGGAGAGGUAGAAACAUGCGCUUCAGUGAUCUACCUCAGUUAAUUCCAGUUUUGGGAGCUUUCAGACGACCUUUUUGCACAACGAGGGAUCAGAUGUUUCCGUGAAUAUUUUUGUUCUGGUCUUGGGGUAAGUUUUGCCGUUUUUUCAAUAAUUUUUUAAGAAACUGGAAAUUGUGACUGGAAUUAACUUAUAAAAAUUCUUCUGUCAA